rnacentral:rRNA from 1 species
GUGAGGAAUAUUGCGCAAUGGAGGCAACUCUGACGCAGCCAUGCCGCGUGCAGGAAGAAGGCGCUACGCGUUGUAAACUGCUUUUAACCGGGAAGAAACCCCAGGACGUGUCCUGGGUUGACGGUACCGGAGGAAUAAGCACCGGCUAACUUCGUGCCAGCAGCCGCGGUAAUACGAAGGGUGCAAGCGUUAUCCGGAUUCAUUGGGUUUAAAGGGUGCGUAGGCGGAGCGUUAAGUCAGUGGUGAAAUCCUGCAGCUUAACUGUAGACUUGCCAUUGAUACUGGCGCUCUUGAGUGAGCUUGAAGUGGGCGGAAUGUGCCGUGUAGCGGUGAAAUGCUUAGAUAUGGCACAGAACACCAAUUGCGAAGGCAGCUCACUAAGGCGAUACUGACGCUGAGGCACGAAAGCGUGGGGAUCGAACAGGAUUAGAAACCCGUGUAGUCC